ACGCUGGCGGCAGGCUUAACACAUGCAAGUCGAACGGUAACAGGGAUUAGCUUGCUAAUCUGCUGACGAGUGGCGGACGGGUGAGUAAUGCUUGGGAAUCUGGCUUAUGGAGGGGGAUAACUACGGGAAACUGUAGCUAAUACCGCGUAAAAUCUUCGGAUUAAAGGGUGGGACUUUCGAGCCACCUGCCAUAAGAUGAGCCCAAGUGGGAUUAGGUAGUUGGUUAGGUAAAGGCUGACCAAGCCGACGAUCUCUAGCUGGUCUGAGAGGAUGACCAGCCACACUGGAACUGAGACACGGUCCAGACUCCUACGGGAGGCAGCAGUGGGGAAUAUUGCACAAUGGGGGGAACCCUGAUGCAGCCAUGCCGCGUGAAUGAAGAAGGCCUUCGGGUUGUAAAGUUCUUUCGGUGACGAGGAAGGUUGGUAGGUUAAUAGCCUAUCAAAUUGACGUUAAUCACAGAAGAAGCACCGGCUAACUCCGUGCCAGCAGCCGCGGUAAUACGGGGGGUGCGAGCGUUAAUCGGAAUAACUGGGCGUAAAGGGCACGCAGGCGGUGACUUAAGUGAGAUGUGAAAGCCCCGAGCUUAACUUGGGAAUUGCAUUUCAUACUGGGUCGCUAGAGUACUUUAGGGAGGGGUAGAAUUCCACGUGUAGCGGUGAAAUGCGUAGAGAUGUGGAGGAAUACCGAAGGCGAAGGCAGCCCCUUGGGAAUGUACUGACGCUCAUGUGCGAAAGCGUGGUGAGCAAACAGGAUUAGAUACCCUGGUAGUCCACGCUGUAAACGAUGUCGAUUUGGGGAUUGGGCUUUGAGCUUGGUGCCCGUAGCUAACGUGAUAAAUCGACCGCCUGGGGAGUACGGCCGCAAGGUUAAAACUCAAAUGAAUUGACGGGGGCCCGCACAAGCGG
rnacentral:rRNA from 1 species